GACGAACGCUGGCGGCGUGCCUAAUACAUGCAAGUCGAGCGCUGAAGGUUGGUGCUUGUACCGCCUGGAUGAGCAGCGAACGGGUGAGUAACGCGUGGGGAAUCUGCCUUUGAGCGGGGGACAACAUCGGGAAACGAAUGCUAAUACCGCAUAAAAACUUGAAACACAAGGUUCAAGUGUGAAAGAUGCAAUUGCAUCACUCAAAGAAGAUACCGCGUUGUAUUAGCUAGUUGGUAAGGUAAAGGCCUACCAAGGCAAAGAUACAUAGCCGCCCUGAGAGGGUGAUCGCCCACACUGGAACUGAGACACGCUCCAGACUCCUACGGGAGGCACCAGUAGGGAAUCUUGCGCAAUGGGCGAAGGCCUGACGGGGCACCCCCGCGUGAGUGAUGAAGGUCUUCGGACCGUAAAACCCUGUUGUUAGGAAAGACCAUAUGUGUAAUUAACUGCGCACCUAGUGACGGUACCUACUCAGAAAGCCACGGCUAACUACGUG
rnacentral:rRNA from 1 species